rnacentral:sRNA from 1 species
UAAGCACCUCGUUAGGUGAGGCUUCCACGCAAAUAUAGGCCACUGACCCCGAACGUCGAAAGACGCCCCGGGUCAGGACAGCUCCUCCCGGCUUAAGGGUUGAGCCCAGGUGGCUUCCGGAUUUACCGGACACGUUGUGUGGUGCCAAAGCUCUGACGAGUGGGGUGCGGA